UAACAAGGUUUCCGUAGGUGAACCUGCGGAAGGAUCAUUAUCGUGGGGGCCCUCGUGGCCCUUUGCGUGAUGCAAACCCUUGCCUUUUUUUCAGUGUCUAUCCGUUUCCUCGGCAGCUUCGCCUGCCAACGAGGACCCUUAGAAACCCUUUUGCAAUCCCGGUACGAAACUCUGAAAAGCACAAACGUCAAAACUUUCAACAAUGGAUCUCUUGGCUCUGGCAUCGAUGAAGAACGCAGCGAAAUGCGAUAAGUAGUGUGAAUUGCAGAAUUCAGUGAAUCAUCGAAUCUUUGAACGCACAUUGCGCCCUUUGGUAUUCCUUAGGGCAUGCCUGUUCGAGCGUCAUUUCAAACCUUCAAGCUCAGCUUGGUGAUGGGCAGUUUGUCUCUCCGCAAACUUACCGCGGCGGACUUGCCUCAAAUACACGGAAGGGGCAGGCAUCUCUCCUCGGCUCAAGACGCAGCAGACUUGCGUCGCUUGUCCCGGGCGAGGGGUGCCUUCCACGUAAAGCAAAUCCAACCUAAGUUUGACCUCGGA
rnacentral:rRNA from 1 species